rnacentral:rRNA from 1 species
GACGAACGCUGGCGGCGUGCUUAACACAUGCAAGUCGAGCGGUAAGGCCCUUUCGGGGGUACACGAGCGGCGAACGGGUGAGUAACACGUGGGUGACCUGCCCUCAGCUCUGGGAUAAGCCCGGGAAACUGGGUCUAAUACCGGAUAUGACUUCAUGACGCAUGUUGUGGAGUGGAAAGCCUUGUGCGGCUGAGGAUGGGCCCGCGGCCUAUCAGCUUGUUGGUGGGGGGA